rnacentral:rRNA from 1 species
AGAGUUUGAUCCUGGCUCAGGAUGAACGCUAGCUACAGGCUUAACACAUGCAAGUCGAGGGGCAGCAUGUUGGUUGCUUGCAACCAACGAUGGCGACCGGCGCACGGGUGAGUAACGCGUAUCCAACCUACCCUUGUCCAUCGGAUAACCCGUCGAAAGGCGGCCUAACACGAUAUGCGGUUCACAGCAGGCAUCUAACGUGAACGAAAUGUGAAGGAGAAGGAUGGGGAUGCGUCUGAUUAGCUUGUUGGCGGGGUAACGCCACAAGGCUACGAUCAGUAGGGGUUCUGGAGAGGAAGGUCCCCCANAUUGGAACUGAGACACGGUCCAAAACUCCUACGGGAGGCA